rnacentral:rRNA from 1 species
GAUGAACGCUGGCGGCGUGCCUAAUACAUGCAAGUCGAGCGAACAGAUGAGGAGCUUGCUCCUCUGACGUUAGCGGCGGACGGGUGAGUAACACGUGGAUAACCUACCUAUAAGACUGGGAUAACUUCGGGAAACCGGAGCUAAUACCGGAUAAUAUAUUGAACCGCAUGGUUCAAUAGUGAAAGACGGUUUUGCUGUCACUUAUAGAUGGAUCCGCGCCGCAUUAGCUAGUUGGUAAGGUAACGGCUUACCAAGGCAACGAUGCGUAGCCGACCUGAGAGGGUGAUCGGCCACACUGGAACUGAGACACGGUCCAGACUCCUACGGGAGGCAGCAGUAGGGAAUCUUCCGCAAUGGGCGAAAGCCUGACGGAGCAACGCCGCGUGAGUGAUGAAGGUCUUCGGAUCGUAAAACUCUGUUAUUAGGGAAGAACAAAUGCGUAAGUAACCAUGCACGUCUUGACGGUACCUAAUCAGAAAGCCACGGCUAACUACGUG